rnacentral:rRNA from 1 species
GAACGGUGAUAGCAAUAUCAUAGUGGCGCACGGGUGCGUAACACGUAUGCAACCUACCUAUUAUUGGGGGAUAGCCUUUGGAAACGGAGAUUAAUACCGCAUAAUACGAUUGACUGGCAUCGGUUGAUUGUUAAAGCUUAGGCGAUAAUAGAUGGGCAUGCGUCCAAUUAGUUAGUUGGUUAGGUAACGGCUGACCAAGACGAUGAUUGGUAGGGGAUCUGAGAGGAUAAUCCCCCACACUGGCACUGAGAUACGGGCCAGACUCCUACGGGAGGCAGCAGUAGGGAAUAUUGGGCAAUGGGCGGAAGCCUGACCCAGCCAUGCCGCGUGCAGGAAGAAGGCGUUAUGCGUUGUAAACUGCUUUUUUAUAGGAAGAAGGAUCCCUUGCGAGGGAAGGUGACGGUACUAUAAGAAUAAGCACCGGCUAACUCCGUGCCAGCAGCCGCGGUAAUACGGAGGGUGCAAGCGUUGUCCGGAUUUAUUGGGUUUAAAGGGUGCGUAGGCGGUUUAUUAAGUCAGUGGUGAAAGACGGUCGCUCAACGAUUGCAGUGCCAUUGAUACUGGUAGACCUGAGUGAGAUUGAGGUAGCUGGAAUGGAUAGUGUAGCGGUGAAAUGCAUAGAUAUUAUCCAGAACACCGAUUGCGAAGGCAGGUUACUAAGUCUUAACUGACGCUGA